rnacentral:rRNA from 1 species
AUACGUAGGGGGCGAGCGUUGUCCGGAAUGAUUGGGCGUAAGGGGCGCGUAGGCGGCCCGGUAAGUCUGGAGUGAAAGUCCUGUUUUUAAGAUGGGAAUUGCUUUGGAUACUGUCGGGCUUGAGUGCAGGAGAGGUAAGUGGAAUUCCCAGUGUAGCGGUGAAAUGCGUAGAGAUUGGGAGGAACACCAGUGGCGAAGGCGACUUACUGGACUGUAACUGACGCUGAGGCGCGAAAGUGUGGGGAGCAAACAGGAUUAGAUACCCUUGUAGUCCACACUGUAAACGAUGAAUGCUAGGUGUAGGGGGUAUCGACCCCUUCUGUGCCGCAGUCAACACAAUAAGCAUUCCGCCUGGGGAGUACGGCCGCAAGGUUGAAACUCAAAGGAAUUGACGGGG